rnacentral:lncRNA from 1 species
CUCUCACAACUUUUUGUUUGUCUUAUAGUAUAGAACUCUAAAGUUUCAGAACAUCUACUGUCAAACAUAGAAUAAGUGUCCAUCUUUCUUUUAAAACAUACGUGACAGGUCUGCCUUAAACAGUUUUUUAGUUAUUGAUUUAUGAAUACGAAAAGCAGCCUGUGGGAUGAGAAAUUGUGAAAAUGUUUCACGUGAAAAUGUUUUGAAAGCCACAGAUAUGGUUAGGAAUCACAAUUGGGGAGUUGUUGAUCCUGCCUAGAGAGUUUGAAUUGAGUAGGAGUCUUUUUCGAUACCUCUCUGUGGUCUCUGCCAACAAAGAGGCUGAUGUUGACGAAGAUUCACUUCCCUUAACAUGUGGCUAUUCUUCAAGAAAGAUCUUCACUGCAGACCAAGAGAAAGAACUUGUAGCCUACAUCACCAAGGCAAGCGAUAUCUACUUUGGACUAAGUCCCAUGGAAGUAAGGAAAUUAGCUUUCAGCUACGCUACUUUUCUUGAGUGUAAAAUGCUCAAGUCAUGGGAAUCUACUUCCGCUGCUGGAAAAGACUGGUUUGGAAGUUUCAUCAAGAGGAACCCAUCUUUAUCUACAAGGAAACCAGAAGCCACAUCCCUAGCACGAGCCAGCAGCUUCAACCAAUACAAUGUUGACUGCUUUUUUAACAACCUUGACAUUGUAUUGUUUAAAUACAAAUUAACUCCACUGGAAAUUUGGAACGUAGAUGAAACUGGAAUUACAACUGUUCAAGUUCCAGAUAGAAUUGUUGGAAGGCGAGGCAAAAAACAAAUUGGAUCCCUUACAUCGCAGGAACGAGGCACAUUAGUUACUGCUGCCAACCUACCCCACCCCGUUCGGCAACUUACCCCGUAGGUGGGGCAGGUUGGCAGGAAUUUUUUUUUGCUGUUUUUCUUAUUUUCUGAAUUUGGUGUCAAUGUAUUUCAAAAAGCAAGACGAUCAAUAC